GCUUCGGUGGCCUAGUGGUUAGAGCGUCCGCCUCAGAUGCGAGAAGUCGCGGGUUCAAACCCCGCCAAGUCA